AUUGAACGCUGGCGGCAUGCCUUACACAUGCAAGUCGAACGGUAACAGGGAGCUUGCUCCGCUGACGAGUGGCGAACGGGUGAGUAAUGCAUCGGAACGUACCCAGUAGUGGGGGAUAACGCAGCGAAAGCUGUGCUAAUACCGCAUACGCACUGAGGUGGAAAGCAGGGGACCUUCGGGCCUUGUGCUAUUGGAGCGGCCGAUGUCAGAUUAGCUAGUUGGUGGGGUAAAAGCUCACCAAGGCGACGAUCUGUAGCUGGUCUGAGAGGAUGAUCAGCCACACUGGGACUGAGACACGGCCCAGACUCCUACGGGAGGCAGCAGUGGGGAAUUUUGGACAAUGGGGGCAACCCUGAUCCAGCCAUGCCGCGUGAGUGAAGAAGGCCUUCGGGUUGUAAAGCUCUUUCGGCCGGGAAGAAAUCGCCAUCUCUAAUAUAGGUGGUGGAUGACGGUACCGGAAUAAGAAGCACCGGCUAACUACGUGCCAGCAGCCGCGGUAACAC
rnacentral:rRNA from 1 species